AAUGAAGGUGAUGAUGUGUUCUUAUGUGAAUACGAAUACGAUGUGAAGUGGCAUAGCUUCAAGCGAAUUGCUGAAAUA